UGGGGAAUAUUGCACAAUGGGGGAAACCCUGAUGCAGCAACGCCGCGUGCGGAAUGACGGCCUUCGGGUUGUAAACCGCUUUCAGCCAUGACGAAGCUUUUGUGACGGUAGUGGCAGAAGAAGCACCGGCUAACUACGUGCCAGCAGCCGCGGUGAUACGUAGGGUGCGAGCGUUGUCCGGAAUUAUUGGGCGUAAAGAGCUUGUAGGCGGUUUGUCGCGUCGAAAGUGUAAACUCAGUGCUUAACGCUGAGCCUGCUUUCGAUACGGGCUGACUAGAGGAAGGUAGGGGAGAAUGGAAUUCCCGGUGGAGCGGUGGAAUGCGCAGAUAUCGGGAGGAACACCAGUGGCGAAGGCGGUUCUCUGGACCUUUCCUGACGCUGAGAAGCGAAAGCGUGGGUAGCAAACAGG
rnacentral:rRNA from 1 species